GUAAAAAUUAUAAAUAGAACCAUUUGUUACAUGCAAAUGAGAGAAACAUGGCUGAAAUUAUUAAGUUUGUUUGUUUUAUGAUUAUCUUUCUUUUCCUAAUUUUUGUUGCAAAGAACGUUGAAGCAUUAUAUACAAGAUGUUACUCAGACUCUGAUUGUCCAAAAGAGUUGUGCCCCAAACCUCGUACGAAACCAAAGUGUGUCGAUUUCGUAUGUAGAUGUGUUAAAAUAAUUUAUCCAGAUAAAUAGUGUCAAAACGAAGAGAGUCCACAAAUGUUGUACUAGAAUAUUUCAUGAGUUAUAAUUUGCUUGUUGAAUUGUCA